CUCGCCGUGAUCGUAUAGUGGUUAGUACUCUGCGUUGUGGCCGCAGCAACCUCGGUUCGAAUCCGAGUCACGGCAUUGUGGGAACAAUGGCACGGCAAGGGUGAGCUGCCUGGCCCAUGAGAUGCUCAACAAUGCCUGUUUCUGGGAGCCCACGCUUUGGUGGUGGAGGAAAGUGCAGAUAAUUACAGAUAAUUUAAAAGAAGAAUAUAAGGAAAAUGAGAGUCAGUGGCAUUGAGUACCUUGCCCUGAGAUCUGACUAAAGCCCACAACUGUUGGACUCCUGAGUCAGACACCUGCUGAUUGAAGAUUUGCUGCAAUAUGGAUGCACUGGCCCAUUCUUCUGGUAUUUAUUAUCUCUAUGUUUAGCUUUGCAUUGUUAGUCAAUUUUUUAAGCUGCAUAUUUUUACAAUGUGCACAUGUUGUUUUCUCUAUUAUACUUCAUGAAACCAGGCACAAUUUCAGAUAUUUCAGUAUGUCCUACAGCCCUUCUCAAAAAAAU
rnacentral:tRNA from 1 species